rnacentral:piRNA from 1 species
UCACAUCUCAAGAUGACAGCACUGAACAGAA